rnacentral:tRNA from 1 species
UGGCGAUUCGUUCAACGGUAGGACAGCGGACUCUGAAUCCGUCCAUCCAGGUUCGAAUACUGGAUCGCCAGCCA